CAUUUACCUAACCUUAAUUUAGAAGUCAUCAUAACCUUCAUUUAGAAGUCAUCAUGGAAAGACAGAAAAAACCAAAGGGAUGAUCAACUAACCAAGUAUCAUAUAAAGUGGAUAAUCAAUCUAAAAUUUUCAAACACCACCAUUCUCCUCUCCACAAGCAUACUAUAAAUUGAUGAAGGAGGUCUCUUUCUGUAUUCACUACAUCUAGACUUUUUAAUAAUAACAAAAAGAUAAAGCUUAUGCUUAUUAUUUCAAUUUUUUAUUUUCUUUUUUUUAGCAAAAAAAUUUAAUUUCUCCUUCUUAGCACUACAAUAGCCG
rnacentral:lncRNA from 1 species